rnacentral:rRNA from 1 species
CCUCGGGGGGCAGCAGUGAGGAAUAUUGGUCAAUGGACGAGAGUCUGAACCAGUCAAGUAGCGUGAAGGAUGACUGCCCUAUGGGUUGUAAACUUCUUUUAUAUGGGAAUAAAAUGUUCCACGUGUGGGAUUUUGUAUGUACCAUAUGAAUAAGGAUCGGCUAACUCCGUGCCAGCAGCCGCGGUAAUACGGAGGAUCCGAGCGUUAUCCGGAUUUAUUGGGUUUAAAGGGGGCGUAGGUGGAUUGUUAAGUCAGUUGUGAAAGUUUGCGGCUCAACCGUAAAAUUGCAGUUGAAACUGGCAGUCUUGAGUACAGUAGAGGUGGGCGGAAUUCGUGGUGUAGCGGUGAAAUGCUUAGAUAUCACGAAGAACUCCGAUUGCGAAGGCAGUUCACUGGACUGCAACUGACACUGAGGCUCGAAAGUGUGGGUAUCAAACAGGAUUAGAUACCCCAGUAGUC